rnacentral:rRNA from 1 species
UACAGAGGUCUCGAGCGUUGUUCGGAUUCAUUGGGCGUAAAGAGCUCGUAGGCGGCUUGUCACGUCGGAUGUGAAAGCCCGGGGCUUAACUCCGGGUCUGCAUUCGAUACGGGCUGGCUAGAGUGUGGUAGGGGAGAUCGGAAUUCCUGGUGUAGCGGUGAAAUGCGCAGAUAUCGUGAGGAAUACCAAGUGCGAAGGCAGGACUCUGGACAUUUUUCUGACGCUGAGACACGAAGGCUAGGGGAGCAAACGGGG